rnacentral:lncRNA from 1 species
GGGAGGUGUUAGGAGGGUGGCAUACCAGGAGGGGCCCUGUGAGUUCCGUGCCCCUUCCUCAGACCUUGUACUCCCUCACCUGGCUGGCCAUCUGCAGCCUUCGUAACAUCCUUUACACACAGAAUGAAGACAAGCGGAUCAACACAAAGAAGGGAAUAAAAAUGAACUCCACGCCCACCCGCCAUCCGGAAA